rnacentral:rRNA from 1 species
UUAGAGUUUGAUCCUGGCUCAGGAUGAACGCUGGCGGCGAGCCUAAUACAUGCAAGUCGAACGAAUCUCUUUUAGAGAUGAGUGGCGAACGGGUGAGUAAUACAUAGGUAACCUGCCCCUGUGCGGGGGAUAACAGGAGGAAACUCCUGCUAAUACCGCAUAGCCAUGAGCACCGCAUGGAGCUCAUGCCAAAUAUCCUUUAUGGGAUAGCGCAGGGAUGGACCUAUGGCGCAUUAGCUGGUUGGCGGGGCAACGGCCCACCAAGGCAACGAUGCGUAGCCGGCCUGAGAGGGCGGACGGCCACAUUGGGACUGAGACACGGCCCAGACUCCUACGGGAGGCAGCAGUAGGGAAUUUUCGGCAAUGGGGGAAACCCUGACCGAGCAACGCCGCGUGAGCGAAGAAGGCCUUCGGGUCGUAAAGCUCUGUUGUAAAGGAAGAACGGCGCAUACAGGAAAUGGUAUGCGAGUGACGGUACUUUACCAGAAAGCCACGGCUAACUACGUGCCAGCAGCCGCGGUAAUACGUAGGUGGCGAGCGUUAUCCGGAAUCAUUGGGCGUAAAGAGGGAGCAGGCGGCCGCAAGGGUCUGUGGUGAAAGACCGAAGCUAAACUUCGGUAAGCCAUGGAAACCGGGCGGCUAGAGUGCGGAAGAGGAUCGUGGAAUUCCAUGUGUAGCGGUGAAAUGCGUAGAUAUAUGGAGGAACACCAGUGGCGAAGGCGACGGUCUGGGCCGCAACUGACGCUCAUUCCCGAAAGCGUGGGGAGCAAAUAGGAUUAGAUACCCUAGUAGUCCACGCCGUAAACGAUGGUCACUAAGUGUCGGGGGUCAAACCCCGGUGCUGCAGUCAACGCAAUAAGUGACCCGCCUGAGUAGUACGUUCGCAAGAAUGAAACUCAAAGGAAUUGACGGAA